rnacentral:rRNA from 1 species
AGCAGCCGCGGUAAUUCCAGCUCCAAUAGCGUAUAUUAAAGUUGCUGCAGUUAAAAAGCUCGUAGUUGAAUUUCGGGACUAAUAUGUCGGUCGUGCCUCGGUACGUACUGGUAUUUUUGGUUUCUCCCUUCUGACGAACCUUGAUGUCAUUAAUUUGGUGUUACGGGUAGUUAGGACUGUUACUUUGAAAAAAUUAGAGUGUUUAAAGCAGGCAUUAGCUUGAAUACAUUAGCAUGGAAUAAUGAAAUAGGACGUUCGAUCCUAUUUUGUUGGUUUCUAGGAUCAACGUAAUGAUUAAUAGGGAUAGUUGGGGGCAUUAGUAUUCAAUUGUCAGAGGUGAAAUUCUUGGAUUUAUUGAAGACUAACUACUGCGAAAGCAUUUGCCAAGGAUGUUUUCAUUAAUCAAGAACGAAAGUUAGGGGAUCGAAGACGAUCAGAUACCGUCGUAGUCUUAACCAUAAACUAUGCCGACUAGGGAUCGGAUGAUGUUAAUUUUUUAAUGACUCAUUCGGCGCCUUAC